ensembl:snRNA U2 U2 spliceosomal RNA
AUCGCUUCUUGGCCUUUUGGCUAAGAUCAAGUGUAGGAAAGCAAUUGAUAAUAUUUAUGAAGGUUCUAGAAAGGUUUAUACCUUUCAUCUUAGUGAUUCAAUUUCUUGGAAUCUAGCUAAUGAUAUAA